CACGUAGGGGGCGAGCGUUGUCCGGAUUCAUUGGGCGUAAAGCGCGCGCAGGCGGCUUGGAAAGUCGGGUGUGAAAACUCGGGGCUCAACCCCGGGCGUGCAUCCGAUACUGCCAGGCUUGAGGCAGGUAGGGGAGAUCGGAAUUCCUGGUGUAGCGGUGAAAUGCGCAGAUAUCAGGAGGAACACCGGUGGCGAAGGCGGAUCUCUGGGCCUGUCCUGACGCUGAGGCGCGAAAGCUAGGGUAGCAAACGGG
rnacentral:rRNA from 1 species